rnacentral:misc_RNA from 1 species
GAUGAAGAACGCAGCGAAAUGCGAUACGUAAUGUGAAUUGCAGAAUUCAGUGAAUCAUCGAAUCUUUGAACGCAUAUUGCGCUCUUUGGUAUUCCGAAGAGCAUGCUUGUUCGAGUAUCAGUAAACACCUCAACCUCUUCUUGAUUUUUCAAAAGGAGGGUGGACUUGAGCUAUCCCAACAACCUUUACCGGUCGGCGGGCGGCUUGAAAUGCAGGUGCAGCUGGACUUUUAUCUGAGCUAAAAGCAUAUCUAUUUAGUCCUCGUCAAACAGGAUUAUUACUUUUGCUGCAGCUAACAUAAAGGAUAAUUGUCCUCUUUGCUGACUGAUGCAGGAUUUUACGACACUUUAUGUGUUGUUCAACUCGAUCUCAAAUCAAGUAAGACUACCCGCUGAACUUAAGCAUAUCAAUAAGCGGAGGA